ACAUGAUUAAGUAUGGAAGUCGUAUAUCAAACAAUAACUGUAAAAUUUACAGCAUACAUUUAACGUAAAAAAUUUAUAAAUGAUAACCAACAGUUUGCAGUUUUGUAUUAUUUGGUCAGCAUAUACUGUAUUACUUACGAUAUGGGGUUAUUUAUCUAUUUAUCUUCUGUAUAAUUAAGAGAUAAAUAACAUAUAUAAAUUACUUACUAUAUAUUGGUGGUAUUUAUCUUCUGUACAGUAUUUUCAGAAUUAACAAUCAUUGUAUGAAUUACUUACUAUAUAUUGGUGGUAUCCAUCUUCUGUGCAAUAAUGACAGAUAUAACAUACCUUGUAUAAAUUACUUAUUAUAUAUUGGUGGUAUUUAUCUUUUGUAUAUUUAUGACAUAAAUAAAAA